UUUGCAUUUCUGUACCAAAUAAAGAGUAUAAACUAUAUCAUAAGAUAAGUCAAUAUUUGAACCACUUUAAAGUUUAAUAUUAUUAUCUUUUCC